UACGAAGGGGGCUAGCGUUGUUCGGAAUUACUGGGCGUAAAGGGCGCGCAGGCGGCCCUCCAAGUCAGGCGUGAAAGCCCCGGGCUCAACCCGGGAAUCGCGCUUGAGACUGGGGGGCUUGAGUUCGGGAGAGGAGAGUGGAAUUCCCAGUGUAGAGGUGAAAUUCGUAGAUAUUGGGAAGAACACCGGUGGCGAAGGCGGCUCUCUGGACCGACACUGACGCUGAGGCGCGAAAGCGUGGGGAGCAAACAGG
rnacentral:rRNA from 1 species